UACAGAGGGUGCAAGCGUUGUUCGGAAUUAUUGGGCGUAAAGCGCGUGUAGGCGGCUUGGCAAGUCAGAUGUGAAAGCCCUCGGCUUAAACCGAGGAAGUGCGUCUGAAACUGCUGAGCUUGAGUGUCGGAGAGGAUGGCGGAAUUCCGCAAGUAGAGGUGAAAUUCGUAGAUAUGCGGAGGAACACCUGUGGCGAAGGCGCCAACUGGCCCGACCCUGACGCUGAGGCGCGAAGGCGUGGGG
rnacentral:rRNA from 1 species